rnacentral:rRNA from 1 species
CAAUAGCGUAUAUUAAAGUUGUUGCGGUUAAAAAGCUCGUAGUUGGAUUUCUGCUGAGGACGAUCGGUCCGCCCUCUGGGUGAGUAUCUGGCUCGGCCUUGGCAUCUUCUUGGAGAACGUUACUGCACUUGACUGUGUGGUGCGGUAUCCAGGACUUUUACUUUGAGGAAAUUAGAGUGUUUCAAGCAGGCGCACGCCUUGAAUACAUUAGCAUGGAAUAAUAAGAUAGGACCUUGGUUCUAUUUUGUUGGUUUCUAGAGCUGAGGUAAUGAUUAAUAGGGAUAGUUGGGGGCAUUCGUAUUUAACUGUCAGAGGUGAAAUUCUUGGAUUCGUUAAAGACGGACUACUGCGAAAGCAUUUGCCAAGGAUGUUUUCAUUAA